AUACGGAGGAUCCGAGCGUUAUCCGGAUUUAUUGGGUUUAAAGGGUGCGCAGGCGGCCAUUUAAGUCAGCGGUUAAAUCGUGGGGCUCAACCCCAUUCUGCCGUUGAUACUGGGUGGCUUGAUUGCGGUCGAGGUUGGCGGAAUUCGUUGUGUAGCGGUGAAAUGCAUAGAUAUGACGAAGAACACCGAUUGCGUAGGCAGCUGACCAGACCGCAAAUGACGCUCAUGCACGAAAGUGCGGGGAUCGAACAGGAUUAGAUACCCUGGUAGUCCGCACAGUAAACGAUGAAUACUUGUUUUCGGCGAUAUAAUGUCGGAGGCAAAGCGAAAGCGAUAAGUAUUCCACCUGGGGAGUACGCCGGCAACGGUGAUACUCAAAGGAAUUGACGGGG
rnacentral:rRNA from 1 species